rnacentral:rRNA from 1 species
GACGAACGCUGGCGGCGUGCUUAACACAUGCAAGUCGAACGGAAAGGCGCUGCUCUUGUGCGGUUCUCGAGUGCCGAGCGCGUGAGUAACACGCGAGUAACCUCCCCUUGACUUUGGGGUAACUUCACGAAAAAGCGGCUCAUACCCGAUAGGAUCUCCUGCUGCGUGGUGUGGGUUGGAAAGUUUCGGCUGUUGGGGAUGGACUCGCUGCUUAUCCGCUUCUUAGUGGGGUAGUGACGUACCAAGGUUUCGACGGGUAGCCCGCCUGAGAGGGUGACCGGCCACAGUGGGCCUUAGAGAGGGCCCAGGCACGUAAGGGAGGAAGCAGGGGGGAAUCUUGCGGAAUAGACGCAAGCGUGAUGCAGCAACGCCGCGGGCGGGAAGACGAGGUUCUGGGGGUAAACCGCUUUCGCCAGUAACGAAGCGUGAGUGACGGUAACGUAUAAAGAAGCACCGGCUAACUACGUG